AUUGAACGCUGGCGGCGUGCCUAACACAUGCAAGUCGAGCGGUAACAGGUGUAGCAAUACAUGCUGACGAGCGGCGGACGGGUGAGUAACGCUUGGGAAUCUGCCUAUUAGUGGGGGACAACCCGGGGAAACUCGGGCUAAUACCGCAUACGCUCUACGGAGGAAAGCCGGGGACCGCAAGGCCUGGCGCUAAUAGAUGAGCCCAAGUCGGAUUAGCUAGUUGGUAGGGUAAUGGCCUACCAAGGCGACGAUCCGUAACUGGUCUGAGAGGACGACCAGUCGCACCGGAACUGAGACACGGUCCGGACUCCUACGGGAGGCAGCAGUGGGGAAUAUUGGACAAUGGGCGAAAGCCUGAUCCAGCGACGCCGCGUGGGUGAAGAAGGCCUGCGGGUUGUAAAGCCCUUUCAGUGGGGAAGAAAAGCCUCGACCUAACACGUCGGGGUCUUGACGUAACCCAUAGAAGAAGCACCGGCUAACUCUGUGCC
rnacentral:rRNA from 1 species